rnacentral:lncRNA from 1 species
ACAGUACUUUAUUCAACAAUCAAUAAGGUGAACAUACACAGAAGUACAUUCCCCAUCAACCCCAAGAACUGGUGUCUAUAUAAUAUGUUCAAUACAUCUAUUAUGAUCAAGAUACUGCAUGCACUGGACAAUAAAGUAAUUUCAAAUAUUCAGGACAGCCUGCUCCUGAGUUCUAAGAAGAAAGUGUAUUGUUCAGCUUGGCUUGUGGUAACUGGAACACACUAAUUUGUCCUACUACAUUUUUAAUUUCAGGAUUGAUAUGUUGCCUUUGCAACUAACUGUCAGAAUAAUUCAUAUACAUGGUAUUAAAAAUAUGUGUGUGGUGGUUUUAUUAAUGUACUCUUAAAGAAUAAUGAAACCUCAGGAUCUGCUCUAAUGAAUUCUGAUGACG